rnacentral:rRNA from 1 species
CCUACGGGAGGCAGCCGUGAGGAAUAUUGGUCAAUGGGCGGGAGCCUGAACCAGCCAAGUCGCGUGAGGGAAGACGGUCCUAUGGAUUGUAAACCUCUUUAGGCGGGGAGCAAUGCCGGGCACGCGUGCCCGGAGGGAGAGUACCCGCAGAAUAAGCAUCGGCUAACUCCGUGCCAGGAGCCGCGGUAAUACGGAGGAUGCGAGCGUUAUCCGGAUGGAUUGGGUUUAAAGGGUGCGUAGGCGGAUUUUUAAGUCAGCGGUAAAAUGUCCGGGCUCAACCCGGGCCGGCCGUUGAAACUGGGGAGCUUGAGUGGGCGAGAAGUAUGCGGGAUGCGUGGUGUAGCGGUGAAAUGCAUAGAUAUCACGCAGAACUCCGAUUGCGAAGGCAGCAUACCGGCGCCCGACUGACGCUGAGGCACGAAAGCGUGGGGAUCGAACAGGAUUAGAUACCCCUGUAGUC